rnacentral:rRNA from 1 species
CCUACGGGUGGCUGCAGUCGAGAAUCAUUCACAAUGGGGGAAACCCUGAUGGUGCGACGCCGCGUGAAGGUCAGUGCCCUAUGGGCGUUAAACUUCUUUUGUGCGGGAGCAAUAAUGGUCACGUGUGGCCAGACGAGAGUACCGUACGAAAAAGCAUCGGCUAACUCCGUGCCAGCAGCCGCGGUAAUACGGAGGAUGCGAGCGUUAUCCGGAUUUAUUGGGUUUAAAGGGUGCGUAGGCGGAUCGUUAAGUCAGUGGUAAAAAUGCGGUGCUCAACGCCGUACAGCCGUUGAAACUGGCAGUCUUGAGUGGGCGAGAAGUAUGCGGAAUGCGUGGUGUAGCGGUGAAAUGCAUAGAUAUCACGCAGAACUCCGAUUGCGAAGGCAGCAUACCGGCGCCCUACUGACGCUGAGGCACGAAAGCGUGGGUAUCGAACAGGAUUAGAUACCCCAGUAGUC